UUAAGCAUAUCAUUAAGCGGAGGAAAAGAAACUAACAAGGAUUCCCCUAGUAACGGCGAGUGAAGAGGGAAGAGCUCAAAUUUGAAAGCUGGUACCUUCGGUAUCCGCGUUGUAACCUCGAGACACGUUUUCCGUGCGGCGCUAUGGACAAGUUCCUUGGAACAGGACAUCGUAGAGGGUGAAAAUCCCGUACUUGCCAUGGAUGUACCGUGCUUUGCGAUACGUGCUCUAAGAGUCGAGUUGUUUGGGAUUGCAGCUCAAAAUGGGUGGUAGACUCCAUCUAAAGCUAAAUAUCGGGGAGAGACCGAUAGCGAACAAGUACCGUGAGGGAAAGAUGAAAAGCACUUUGGAAAGAGAGUUAAAAGUACGUGAAAUUGUCGAAAGGGAAGCGCUUGAAGUCAGCCAUGCCGCUCAGGACUCAGCCUGGCUUUUGCUUGGUGUAUUUCCUGGGUAGCAAGUCAGCAUUGGUUUGGAUCGUCGGAGAAGCAUAGUCGGAAUGUGGCGCCCUCGGGCGUGUUAUAGCCUUCUAUUGGAUACGACGAUCUAGACCAAGGAACGCAGCGCGCCUUAUGGCGGGUCUUCGGACACCUUCGCGCUUAGGAUGCUGGCGUAAUGGCUUUAAGUGGCCCG
rnacentral:rRNA from 1 species